CUGUGAAAAAACUUCCAAUCCCUUGAAACUCAAAAAUAUAGCAAAAAAGGACCUGCUCAAAUUUAGCAAGUUUAGGAUUUCAGAAAUUCAUAUUUUUGACUUUGAGGGACUGUAAUUAGUGUGCAGUCUACACAUAUUAUUGUGUAGCUUUCUUCAAAUGCACAAGAGUCAACCAAAAAAAUUAGAAAAAAAAUUACAUCCAGUAUAGUGUUGUUACUUCAGGAAACUAAUGACUAUUAAACUGUCUGGAAAAACACACACAUACAAAAAAUCAUUUACAAAAAAGGAUAUGGUUGAAUGUUUGCAUGCAUGUGUAUGUAUAUGUGCACAAGGCAUUUAAGUGGAGGAUGUACACAUCUUAAUAUGUUUUCCUCAGUUAUCAAGAUCAAAGUAUAUCAUGAAACUGUACAACUCGGGUUGUUGGACCAAUAUACCUCAUGAAAAUAUAUUUAAGUGAUUGCAGUUACAAGAGAGAUGAAUUAAACCCAUUUUAUUUUAUUUUUUUUAAAAAGGAAGAAAAAAGUACCAGUUUGCUAAAAGCGGCCAUUGGCAAUACUGACUUGUCGUACAAUACAUCAGCACUAAACUAACCCUUUUGCUGAGAGAGCAAACAGUAUCUUCUACUGUAAACUAAACAAAUCAGAUG